ACGAUGUGAGAGAAGCCCGAUUUUCAAGUUCUCGAAGAAAGGAAGAAACAAAGGGACAAAGGUGUGCGAAGUAAAUUUUAAACGAUAUUUCGUGGCGGUCGUCGUCAACUAAAGUCACCAGGAAUUCAAGUGCGGAACUUUGCGGAUGUGUAUGAGAACGCCCGCUGUCAUACCGCCGGCACGAUUGCGCAUGCGCCUGGCUUACACUUGACGGGCUCAAAAAAUCAAUGACCCCACUCAGUCGUGGGUCCGUUUGCAUCUUUCUCUCAACGAGCUAGGAAGACCGGGAAUAAAAUCAGAAAUCGGUUCGAGGAAACGCGCUGAACGUCGAUGAUCGCAGAAUCUAGCGGGCAACUGUGACGAAAAUUUCAGGUAGGAGUGGGAAAGAAGCGAUGGAGGAAAAUGGACGGUAAGGGUGCAGCCUCGGUGGCGGCGCUGGUGUAUACCGGCCGAAUAGCGGUUCGGUGAAACCAGCCGAGCGACCUCGUCUCGUUUCGGCUCGCCGCGUUAGUUCGUGUUCUCUCGCAGCACACGACGGACGUAUACUAUUCCGCGACGGGUCUCGUGUUCUCUACUCAAGGGAGAAAAAAAAGCUAAACUGUUAUACGCUACCGAAUCAGCGUGGAACACGUAAUUCAGUGAUUUACGUGUAAACGAAAAAACUGUGUCGCAAGUUGAGAAAGAGAGCGGAACGCGUGUCUCGCGAGAACGACACACGAGGUCGUAAGUGCUUCGACCGGCGAUAAAGUUUCGUUGUGACUUGUGUAAGGAAAGAAAAAAAAAAAAAAAAGAAAGGAGAAAAGUGGUGAACCAAAGGAAUGUGCGAAUAUAUAUCGUUCGCGUCGUGUAUAACAGUACCAGGCACGGUUUAACGGCGAGAAAAAGUCCGGUAAUCGGAUCGAUUUUAGGUAGAACGCGGUUCGGUGAAUUGUCAGGGGAGAGUAUAUACCUCUACCAUCGUAGCCGUCGUCGCGGUGCACCGUCCAUCCACCUUUCGCGUUGCCGCGAGUGCACGGGAUAAAAUGGCGCUUGCUUUCGUCCGUAUACCUCUAUCGACCAUGACAAACGAUUUAACGACGGAAUCGCGUCGACGCCAGUCACGACGUUUUUGAGCAGCCGAACGUUUCGCGGCAUUGCUUCCCCUCUUCGCCCCACCCUCUUGCCCCGUUUCGAUCGUUUUAACGCCUUUUUCUCUACGAAUCGAAGCGCUAACGUCACCGCCAGCCACGGGAUCGCGAUUCGAGGAAGACGACAAUUUACAACGAAGGAAGAAACAAUCUCGUACACCCGCGGCGUCCUUGGACUGGAAUUUCGAAAACAACAAGCGUCGAGCGACACUCCUCGUUCGUGUUACGACGAGCCAGCCCGUGGAGCGUGGAGCGCGCGUCUAUGAGAAAAUUCAGGCGUUGACGGGAAGAAGAGACGAAAACCAGGAGGAGAAAAGUACAAAAAAGAAGGAGAAGAAAAAAAAAAUACAGAGAGGCAGAGGAAAGAGGAAAUGCGACGAAUCUCGGCUCGUCGUUAAGGGAAGCUGCUUUUUAUAAGUGAGAGGAAAGGGGGGCGGGGGGGAAAUCGAACGGGAUAUUCGCGGCGGUCGUGCAAGAGCGGUACCUGACUACUUCCGGUACGAUCGCGAGUGGUAAAUGCGGCCAAGUCCACGUCCGUCGUGUGUUUCGUGCAACCGAGAGCCUAUCAAUCGCGAAAAACCCCAGAUCUACAACGAGCUUUCAACGAGCGGCCUAAUCGCUGUUAAUGGCAUAGAAGGUAUUCGGUGGCGAUCGUUUCUUUUUUCAAGAGAGAAGGAGGAAGAAAGUCGACUGGCGAGUACAGCGAGCGACAGUAACUCGUGGACGGACAAUAACGAAGAGGAGGGUGAAGAGGAAGAAGGGGUGGUGCGCGCUUUAUUCGAGAAGCGAAGCUACUUUUCGGAAGGGUAAGAAACGCCGGUGGGCUGCACGGCACAUCUGGAAGGGUUGCGCGACCUGGAGCAGGAGCAAGAGGAAGAGGAGGCAGGAGGAGGAGGAGGAGGUGGAGGAGAAGGAGGAGGUGGUUGUAGCGUUGAAGCUGGAGGAGUCGGGAGGCUACGAGGGUGGUUGCACGUCGUCGUCGCGUGACGUGCGGAAAGAGCAGACGAAGCGUGGAGGAGGCAUGAGGAGGAGAGAGUGACGACGCUGCCGGUGCUGCAGCCUCGCACAGAUCGUGAGAGGACCGGCGGCCCCACGGUGGGGCUACGAUAAGAAUGGCCCCCUUCAAUAUGGCGGGCGUAGCAGGCCUUCUAGCCACCUGCGCCGCCGCUGCUGCUUCCGCUGCCCACCUUCUGCCGUUGCUGCUGUUGCUGAUCUGCCCGCGAGGGACCCACGCGGAACAAGUUGUUCUCUUGGACACGACACAAGAGGAGAAGCUCGAGUGGACAAAGUAUCCGUUCGGCGCGGAAGCUAACACCCCAGGGUGGGUGGAAGAGUCGUUCACGAACUUCGACAAGGGCAUCAAUUGGCGGAGUUACGUCGUCUGCGACGUAGCGUACAACAACGUGAACAAUUGGCUAUGGACGCCGUUCAUCGAGAGGGGACCGGCGAACCGCAUGUACAUAGAAAUACAAUUCACGACUCGUGACUGCUCGUUGUUCCCCGGAAACGCGCUCAGUUGCAAAGAAACUUUCAGUCUACUUUACUACGAGUUCGACGUGGCUACCAAGGAACCGCCACCGUGGGAAACGGAUAGUUACAAGUUGAUCGGACGCAUCGCCGCUGGCGAGGGAAGGUUCAACACUAACACCGGGGUGGUGAUAAACACGGAGGUCAAGUCCAUUCCAGUGACGAAGAAGGGCGUGUACUUCGCGUUCCGCGACCAGGGAGCCUGCAUCUCCAUCUUGGCCAUUAAAGUUUACUACAUCAGCUGUCCGGAGAUCUCUGUGAACUUCGCACACUUCCCGGCAACGCCAACGGGUCGCGAAGUCGCGUUGAUCGAACAAACGAUCGGCACUUGCGUGGACAACGCCGUGGUCAUCGAACAGCCAACCUUCCUCUGCAAAGGAGAUGGCAAAUGGUACCUGCCUAACGGUGGAUGCCACUGCAAGCCUGGCUAUCAGGCUGACGUCGAGAAGCAAGCGUGCACCGAGUGCGCGAUCGGUAAAUUCAAACACGAAGCUGGGUCGCACAGUUGCGAAGCUUGUCCGGCUCACAGCAAAUCCUCCGAUUACGGAUUCACCGAGUGUCGAUGCAACGCCGGUUAUUUCAGGGCCGAGAAAGAUCCGAAGAAAAUGCCUUGUACACAACCACCGUCGGCGCCACAAAAUUUGACGGUGAACUUCGUUGACCAGUCUACUGUGAUUCUGUCGUGGAAUGCGCCGCACAUGCUGGGCGGCAGAACAGAUACGACUUACAGGGUGGUCUGCGAUGCCUGUAGUAUGGGCGUCAAAUACAUUCCCAACACCGAAGUUUUCAACGAUACGAAGAUCACGAUAACGGGUCUAAACGCGGUGACCACGUAUCGAUUCCAAGUAUUUGCCGAGAACGGUGUAUCGGCGUUGGCUGGAAAAUCCGAGUACGUGGACAUCACCGUCACCACAGAAGCUAGCGUACCUAGUUUGGUGAGCAACGUCAGGAUUACCAGCGUGAAGAGUUCGGAACUGAGCAUUAGUUGGGACGCUCCGGUAACCGAGGUCGGUGGAGACAGCGAUCUGGUCGAAAGAUACGAAGUGAGGUGUUAUCCGCGAUACGACGAUGCUACCAACGCUACGGUUAUACAAACUUCCGAGUUAUCCGCCACGUUCAAGGGCCUAAAACCAUCGACGGACUACGCGAUACAAGUACGAGCGAAGACUACGCGAGGCUGGGGCGAAUAUACGCCCAUAGUUUAUAAAAAGACGCCUCAUGCUAUGGGACUAGACUACGUCGGAGAAGACGACAAUAUGCAAGUAAGGAUCAUAGCAGGAGCUAUCGUUGCCGUGGUAGUCCUUCUGGUGAUCAUCAUUAUCAUGACCGUUCUGAUUUUGAGAAGCAGGGCCUCGGACGAAUGCAACAAGAAACAGCCCAGCGACUGCGAUACCCUGGAGUAUAGAAACGGCGAAGGACUAGUUGUGACCUACAUGACCACGCCGCUGUUCACACCUGCAGUGGGAGUUGCUGCCGCGAGUGCAGGAGGUGCUGGUGGCGGAGGUGCAAGGAGUUACGUCGAUCCUCAUACUUACGAAGAUCCGAAUCAAGCUGUGAGAGAAUUCGCCCGAGAAAUCGACGCAGGAUACAUUACGAUAGAAGCUAUCAUAGGUGGUGGAGAAUUUGGCGACGUUUGUCGAGGAAAAUUAAAACUACCGCCAGACGGUCGAACGGAGAUCGACGUGGCGAUCAAGACUUUGAAACCAGGCUCCGCGGACAAAGCUCGCAACGACUUCCUCACUGAAGCCUCCAUCAUGGGUCAGUUCGAGCAUCCGAACGUGAUAUUCCUGCAAGGUGUCGUAACCAAGAGCAAUCCGGUGAUGAUCAUCACGGAGUUCAUGGAGAACGGUAGCCUGGACACUUUUCUGCGUGCGAACGACGGCAAGUUCCAGGUGCUGCAGCUUGUAGGCAUGCUUCGCGGUAUCGCGAGCGGCAUGCAGUAUCUUGCUGAAAUGAACUACGUACAUCGAGAUCUCGCGGCGAGGAACGUGCUCGUGAAUGCUGCCCUCGUCUGCAAGAUCGCCGAUUUCGGGCUUAGCCGGGAGAUCGAAAGCGCCACGGAAGGAGCGUACACGACCAGGGGUGGAAAGAUCCCGGUACGAUGGACAGCUCCGGAAGCGAUAGCGUUCCGAAAGUUCACCAGCGCUUCCGACGUAUGGAGCAUGGGCAUCGUUUGUUGGGAGGUGAUGUCCUACGGCGAAAGACCGUAUUGGAACUGGUCUAAUCAGGAUGUGAUAAAGUCGAUCGAGAAAGGAUACAGGCUUCCAGCACCGAUGGAUUGUCCGGAAGCGAUCUAUCAGCUGAUGCUCGAUUGCUGGCAAAAGGAACGAACCCAUCGUCCUACCUUUGCCAAUCUCACUCAAACCUUGGACAAAUUGAUACGAAGCCCGGACACGCUGCGGAAGAUCGCCCAGAACAGAGAAUUGACAGAACGUACCGGAAACGCAAGAAUGCGAAUUCUUCGUCCAUUCUGUCAACCUGUCAGAGGGUUAACAACGAUCAACGACAAAGUCUUUACGUCUACAGUUCUUUUUUUUCCUCGCAGCGUCUCCGUUUGGGGGGGUCAGAGCUCCGCGAUCGUCGUUUCGUCGAAAGCUGAAGCGAAAUUCGUACAAUGAAAAAGUUGCCGAAGAGUCGGAGCAAGACCUGCUUGUUUCUUUCCGUGCAAACAACGAUCGAACUUGUACGCGUCCCAGCUAGUCGAACGACAACCGGGUCCAACGGAUUGGCUUUUUUCGUCCGUCGACGUUCGUCGAAGAAACGCUCGCGCAGUUUUUGCUGAACGUUGAACGAUGCACGGGGACGCUUCUCUCCUUAAGCGGAAUAAUCGCGGAUAGGAUGAUUUUCGCGCGUUUCUCUCUACCGUAGGGAAUCGCUCUCUCGUAAAGGAAACAUUUAGGUUGUCAAUUGUGUUGCGAGCGUAUUUAGACGUAGGUAAAAAAAAAAAAACGGUAGCGAAUUAGUCGUCGUAGAGGAAAGAUUUUCACGGUUUUCGAAUUAUACGAGACUCAUUAUCGUCAGCAAAGCAAUCUACGAUACGUAUACUUAUUUAUAAAGAGAAAAGUGUUUUUUAUCGAUGUGAUGUUGGAGCGACCGCCAGGCGCGAUGAAUUUUAUCCAUCUUAGCUGCCACGUAGAGAUCGCAUAAAGAAUAUUUAUGGUUCUAGUUAGAGUGAUUUAAAUGGGAAAUUUUAUCAGAGUAUAUACAUAUAUACAUACAUAUAUAUGUACCCCGCAGUUUUUUUGGUAGAGAUAUAACGAGAAUUUAUAGAGGACGAAUCGAAGCAACGAAUAGCAAUAUACGUAGAAUGAGUUUAAGCUGGGAAAGCUUAGGGACGGGCAAAGAGGAUUUUAACCGCGAGACGCGUUGUCAUAGUCUUUCAGAUGUUUUUCUAAUUCUUGAUAUACGUAAUGUGUGUAUAUAUAUAUAUAUAUAUAUAUAUAUAUAUAUAUCUCACAGGAGUAUACGUAAACAUAUACAUAUAUCGUAAAGAAGCGGAUAUAUAUAUAUAUAUAUAUAUAUAUAUAUAUAUAUAUAUCGAUAUAGUAUUUAUUAACGUCACGACUUUUACCGCAACAAAAAGAGGAAACUGCAAAGACUUAUUAGCAUUUAAUCACGCGAGCUACCAUUCGACCAGAUUAGAAUAGUAUUUUUCUACUUGAAAGUCGAGAAAAGUCAAGGAAAACCGUACCGAGAAAUUGUACGCGAUAUCCCAGGUUGUUUUCACGCCGGGACGAUCGAUUCUUGCGAGGAUACGCGCGUCGCGUCUACGUUAUAGCGAAAAAUCUGGAGGAAAGGUCGAUCAUAGCGGAACGCGUCGCGACACACCAUUACAGGAAAAAUGGAACGGAAGCAAGAUAGAACGGGACGACGAACGAAGAGGGUGGUUAAGAUUUCGCUGCUUCGAAGUUUCGCGGAUUCGCGAACGAUUUUUCUUUAUCGAGACGAGAAUCAAAAUGGACAAUCAGCUUAGACGCGUUACGCCCGCGGAAAUCGAAUCGAUGCGCGCUAAUUACCUUAGAGUUUACGCUGACAAUCGCGAUAAACGAGCUUGGCGCGAGCACACGAUCGCACACUUGCGCAAACACACUAUACAGCGGUACACUGGAGAGAAAUCAGGGCAGAGAUGAGACGAGAAAACGUACGCGAUACACAUAAACACACACAGGCAAACCAAACACACGUACAAGCAAACACACGCCAAAGUGUGUGACCUCGAUCGCACUAACAAAUGCUAACAAUUGUCAGAAUCAGGGAAAGGGGUGCUCCACCCCCACCCCCACCCGCCUCGUCGACAUCCUCCAACGUGCAUUUGAGGAAAAGGGGCACCAAUCCACUGGCGCCGGACGCGGUGGACUUGACGCAGCUGACCUCGGUCAGCGAGUGGCUGGCUU